GGGCGAUUGGCGCAGUGGUGGCGCAGGUGCCUUACAAGCACAAGGUCACUGGUUCGAACCCAGUAUCGCCCACCA
rnacentral:tRNA from 1 species